UGACAAUAUACUGCUUAGUUUUUGAGGGC
rnacentral:piRNA from 1 species